CAAGGAAUUUUGUGCAAUGGGCGAAAGCCUGACACAGCGACGCCGCGUGGGGGAUGAAUGCUUUCGGGUUGUAAACCCCUUUUCCCAGGGAAGAAUAAUGACGGUACCUGGGGAAUAAGUCUUGGCUAACUACGUGCCAGCAGCCGCGGUAAUACGUAGAAGGCAAGCGUUAUCCGGAUUUAUUGGGCGUAAAGAGGGCGUAGGCGGUUCUGCAAGUCGGAUGUAAAAUCUCCCGGCUUAACCGGGAGGGAUCAUUCGAUACUGUUGAGCUGGAGUGCAGCAGAAGGAGGUGGAAUUCCCGGUGUAGUGGUGAAAUGCGUAGAUAUCGGGAGGAACACCAGUGGCGAAGGCGGCCUCCUAGGCUGUUACUGACGCUGAGGCCCGAAGGCGUGGGGAGCGAACAGG
rnacentral:rRNA from 1 species